CGGCACGGCCUGUAGCGGAGAGACCCCAUUCCUACCCCGUCCACCCGGAGGUGGGACAAGGCGGCUGCGCCCCUCCCGGCCGAAUGAAGCUCCAUUCCCCCGGAGGCGGGGUCUGUGCAGCCUUGCCGGCUCAGCUCGAGGCGUGAAGGGCCUGAGGCUGGUCGACCUGCCUUCUCCUGGGCUUGAGGGCGGAAGCCGUCCGUGGACUUCUGGGCCCCGCGGCGGGGGGCGGGGGUCUGGAGGCCGCGUUGCCUGAACUCGGGCUUAACACCCGGAAUCCUGCGUCCCCCCAGGCUCCACCUCCAUUUGGGACACCCGACUGUGUGAGUCGGAAAAGGCCCUUCACCGUCUCUGGACCUAGGUCGUCUCAUCAGUAAGAUAGGGUUAAAGGGAGACCUCAAGGGAGAACGCAGCGCACCACGGUGAAUGCGUCUAACGUAGGCUCCGACUGAACUCUGCCUGUUUAAGGAUGAGUUCUAGAAAUCCUUCUCAGCGACGCUUUCCCUGAAUCCACAGUGGAGCUUUUCAUUUCCCUGCAGCUAACUCGGCCGCACUUAUCCCCCAUUUUCUCUCUUUCUACCUUUUAUUUCUUCCUUUCCCUUUCUACCUCACGGGUCUCUAGAUGAGGUGCUGUGAAUAGGACUUAAGUUGAAUAUUUGAUCUCCCACUCCCCAGCACAGCCUACCCAGCAGUGAUUCUCAGCCCGGCCUGCGCAAUCGGAUCGCCUUGGAGCACCUAAAAAAAUACUGGUGCUUGGGCCCUACCCCAAACCAAUUCAACCAAAAUCUACAGUGGACCUGUGUGUCGUUCACCAAGAUGAUGUUGGUACAACUAGUGAGAUGCAGCACACCACCCUUUGCCUCUGGAAGAGAAACCAGACUGCAAAGGGGACUGAGUACAGAAGCUAACGGAACUCAGAAGGACAAGACAAAAAAGCAUAAAUGCACCCGACUGGACAGUGCUUGGGGUCCGCUCUGCAGACCCCACGUCUUCAAAAUUUCCAGUUUUCUUUUUCACCGUUGAGAAAAUCCCAGAGGCUCUUGACAACAUGGAAUCCUUCUGUGAAAAUCCCACUGCCCUUCUAUCAGUCUUCAUUGACCGUAUCAAAAAACUUCAACUCAAAUAUGUGAAAAGCAGUCACUGUUUCCCUUUGGCCACAGGAAAGCUUGAGAGUGAAGACUGUCAUGUCUGCAAAGUGCUGGCAACACAUUCUGAUCAAUUUUCCAUGAUGCACUUGGUGCCUUAUACACACACAGUAAAUGACCAAGAAAUGUUUCAUUAAUUGAAUCAGAAAUUAAAUAGAAGUAUUCUAUAAAGUGCUUACAUUGAACCUGUCUUUCCAUCCAGCCUCAUUUCUUGCUAAGUCUCCCUUGAGCCUUUUGCUCAUUACAAGUAAUUACAUGCAGUUUCUUAAGAUCCCCAUGCUGUUUCAUGCUUCUGUGUCUUAGCUCAGUGUGUCCUCUGCCUGAAGCAGCCUGGACACCCCUACUUAAUUUCUAAGACUUAGCUUAGGGCCACUUUUCCUACAAUGCCUUUCUUGACCCCAUUCUUACACCUUUGUAAACUAAUAGUACCCCAAAAAAUAUCUAUUCCUUUUUUUUUUGUUUCCACAUGUCUUCCUCUAAUUGCUACUGUGAGUUCUGUCAGGACAGAAAGCAUUUGACUGACCUGUACAUCUGCAGUACCUGGCACUUACUUGGUACCUAGCAAAUGGUUUCAGUGGAUGAAUAUACAUAUUGCAAUCACACAGAACUGGAGGGAUGAAAAGUACUUAUUGCUAUACAUUUAAAUACGAUCUCAUUCUGAGGUUACAGUUUACCUCAAUCUGUUUUAUAUGUAAUCAUGCUAUCAAGAGUAAAUAAAUAAAAUUUUAGUUUUCCCCA